rnacentral:lncRNA from 1 species
AAUAAAGUAAGGGGUCCCUCCAUUAUCGGAAGGAAUCUACUUUUAUAAAAGUAGUUUGUCCAAUUUUAAUAAUGUAGUUUUUCUUUUGGCCACAUUUUAAUUAUCUUGUCGGCUACUUUUACUUUUUCAUUUUGUUUGUUUGUAUACAGAUCCAUUAUAUAAGGAUCACUCUUCUUUAGUUAGAGGCAAGCGUUAGACAAUACUAGAACUCUCUGCCUUCUCUCUAGUUUAUCUCUCUACUUGUAAAGAACCUCUUCUGUAAUAAUUUUUCCAAGUUUGAAAUAAAAUCAAAAAGGUCAUUUGGCCACAACUAGAGAUUUCUCUGCUGGUACUGUUCUUCUCAUUCCCUCUUCCAUAUCUGAAAUAUUGUUAGCCUAAAUGACAGGUUAAACAGGUAAGUGUUAGACUUGGUUCUCGAUGGUUAUAUGCUAUUCAUGUUUAUGGUAGUUAGGAGUCUACUGUAUCAAAUCCGAUGGGGUUUUGGGUUAAGGACUAUAUAGACCAGGCAGUUACUAGUCUCGACAGUAAACCUUGGUUAGUCCCAAGCUAACCGGUGGUGCUCGUUAACCCGUUUAGGCAGGUGGCUGUUGAAGGGUUGUGAAGAGCAUCGUGGUUUAAGGUUUCCCUUGAUAUUAGUGGCUAGGCCAGGACUGGUGUUCUUGUAAUUCAAUUCCUAAACCCACUACUCUCUUCCUUAAUCAUAUACAAUUAUUAUUUUUCUAUCUUAUAAGAUAAAUAUAAGCAUUACAUUUGACAUUAAUAUUUCAUUACCUAAUAGUAUUAGACAACUCUUGUCAAGAUUUUCAUAAUCGAUCAAAAAUAUUCAUCAUUUUUGUCAUGGCAACCAUUUUCAUUUUUUAAGCUAACUAUUUUUUUUGUUUAUAAUUCGAAUCAUAAAUACUUAUUUAGCUACAAAUUUUGUUUUGAAUAAUUUCAUAGGCCUAAAAGGUUAUUAUUACUAUAACGAGUAUCAACUUGCAGCAAAAGCUAAUAAUUAACUAUGAAAUUUUAUCAGAACAAUAAAUUUGUGGCUAGAUUAUUCUGUAAUGACAAAUAAUUAUAGCUAUUAAGCCAACUAUUGCAGUGUUCUUUUUAGAACUUGAAGCAAAAAUAUUUAUCUAACUAUAAUAGUUUAUUUUAAAUAUUUUAUUAUGGUUAAAAGGUUAUUUUUGCUACAGUAACUUUUCGUUCGUAGCAAAAAUUAACAAUUAGCUACAAUAUUAUGUCAUAACAAUAAAUUCGUGGCUAUAUCAUUUACCUAUUGCCAUAAUUUUUAUAGCCUGAAGCAGAUGUAUUUCUUUAACUACAAUAUUUUAUUUAAAUAAUUUAUUGUAGCUAAAAGGUUACUAUUGCUAUAAUAACUUUUAAUGCAUGGCUAAAACGUAUAAGUUAGCUCCACAAUUUAUUGUAGCAACAAAUCUAUUUAGGCAAUUAUUGCUACGAUUGUUAGCAAUUAUAGCAAAAAUAAGAAAUUAGUUUUACCAAUUUAAUUUUUUGUGGCUAUUGUUAGGUAUUAGCUACGAUUUUUAAAUUCAUAGCUAAGAUUUCGUAGCUAUAAAUAUAUUAGGUUGUGGUGUGUUGUCAUUGGACACUUCGAAAAUAGUAGCCUAAGAAUAUUUGUGUAUUAACAUCAUGUAUAUACGCUUGCAGAAAUGCAGGGUAAGCUUGCGCACAAUAGAUCCUUGUGAUCAAAUUCUUCCUCGGACCCUGCACAUAACGGGAGCUUAGUGCACUGGACUGCAUAUAUAUAUACACACACAUACACGCCUGAAAAUGAUGUAAACAACAGUGUGAAAUUAAAGUAAAGCCUUAUUAAAAUCCCAUAACUUCAAAUCCAAACUUGUUUACUACCUAGGUAGUGACAUAGGUCGACAUCGUUUGCUCAUGUGCCAAUAGAUCGUCAGCCAAUCAACUAAUUCUUAAUUCACAAAGUAGUUAAAAUCAAUUACAUGAAUCUUUCUCUUUAUUCAAACCUAAUUAAUUCUUAUUGUUUUUUUUAAAAUUAAGGAGAAAUAAAUAGGGUAUUUGUUGGACGGGUUUGGAGCUGGGGUUAGCCAAAGAGUGGGAUACAUCAUCUCUGGGGUUGCAACCCUGUCAGUCACCAGACACCCAGUGAACGUUAGAGCACUGAUUCCUCAUUAAACAAUUAUUAAUCAAAUUAUGGGUAAAGAUGUCGGAGAUUACUUUAAAAAAAAAUUAAAUAAAUGUGCACUAAGCUUCUAAAUAAAUGCUAACAAAAUCAAUUCCAAAUGCAGAUGCAGAAGUGGCAGUGGAGGACGCCUCUUUGAAUUUGAGGCACAUGGAAAAUAACUAUGGUUAAUUGUAGGAGUAAUAAGAAUGACAAUAAUGUACUGGUCGAAAGCAGAUACAUAAGGCAAUGGAUUGGCUAGCCAUCAUUCGAAUUUAAUGGAUGCUGGGGAUUUGUGUAGAGAAAAAGACUUGUAUCCACAACAAGUGUUAUUAAUACAUUUUUCAUGCCUAUAUCCAUGGCUUUUGGCUUCAAUUUAUUAACGUAGUUGGAAUAGUAUUGGAGAAACACUUGUAAGUUUCAGUAGUGAUGUUGAUAUAUUUGCAGAGCACAGGCACUGUUGUCAGGGAGGCAAAAAACUUGAGUGUGGAGAGAAUGGCAGCCACCAUAAUCGGCAAUAGGAGAAGCUGCAAUUGCAGGUGGGGAGGACGAUGUUUUAAAGCGCCUUCAGUUUACAGAUAUAAAGCAUUAACUAUUUGUAUUGCUACUUCUAUACGAAAACAUUGAUUUGAUGCAUCUUUCUAAAUGUGAUUGAUGGAUGAAUUUGAAUUUUGAAGGACUAUCACUGAAAUACUAUUCUACCCGCUAAUUAGAUUACAAUUAUUACA